rnacentral:rRNA from 1 species
UGGGGAAUUUUGGACAAUGGGCGAAAGCCUGAUCCAGCAAUGCCGCGUGUGUGAAGAAGGCCUUCGGGUUGUAAAGCACUUUUGUCCGGAAAGAAAUGGCUCUGGUUAAUACCUGGGGUCGAUGACGGUACCGGAAGAAUAAGGACCGGCUAACUACGUGCCAGCAGCCGCGGUAAUACGUAGGGUCCAAGCGUUAAUCGGAAUUACUGGGCGUAAAGCGUGCGCAGGCGGUUGUGCAAGACCGAUGUGAAAUCCCCGAGCUUAACUUGGGAAUUGCAUUGGUGACUGCACGGCUAGAGUGUGUCAGAGGGGGGUAGAAUUCCACGUGUAGCAGUGAAAUGCGUAGAGAUGUGGAGGAAUACCGAUGGCGAAGGCAGCCCCCUGGGAUAACACUGACGCUCAUGCACGAAAGCGUGGGGAGCAAACAGGAUUAGAUACCCUGGUAGUCCACGCCCUAAACGAUGUCAACUAGUUGUUGGGGGAUUCAUUUCCUUAGUAACGUAGCUAACGCGUGAAGUUGACCGCCUGGGGAGUACGGUCGC